rnacentral:rRNA from 1 species
UACGGGGGGAGCAAGCGUUGUUCGGAUUUACUGGGCGUAAAGGGCGCGUAGGCGGCCACCGCAAGUCGGUUGUGAAAUCUCUGGGCUUAACCCAGAAAGGUCAACCGAUACUGCGGGGCUAGAGUGCAGAAGGGGCAACUGGAAUUCUCGGUGUAGCGGUGAAAUGCGCAGAUAUCGAGAGGAACACCUGCGGCGAAGGCGGGUUGCUGGGCUGACACUGACGCUGAAGCGCGAAAGCUAGGGGAGCGAACGGG